GAUGAACGCUAGCGGCAGGCCUAAUACAUGCAAGUCGAACGGGAUUGCGGUGUAGCUUGCUACACUGCAUGAGAGUGGCGCACGGGUGCGUAACGCGUGAGCAACCUGCCCAUAUCAGGGGGAUAGCCCGGAGAAAUCCGGAUUAACACCGCAUGUUACAGUAUUACCGCAUGGUAUAGCUGUUAAAUAUUUAUAGGAUAUGGAUGGGCUCGCGUGACAUUAGCUAGUUGGUGGGGUAACGGCCCACCAAGGCGACGAUGUCUAGGGGCUCUGAGAGGAGAAUCCCCCACACUGGUACUGAGACACGGACCAGACUCCUACGGGAGGCAGCAGUAAGGAAUAUUGGUCAAUGGGCGGAAGCCUGAACCAGCCAUGCCGCGUGCAGGACGACUGCCCUAUGGGUUGUAAACUGCUUUUGUACGGGAAUAACCCUCUCUACGAGUAGAGAGCUGAACGUACCGUAAGAAUAAGGAUCGGCUAACUCCGUGCCAGCAGCCGCCGUAA
rnacentral:rRNA from 1 species